rnacentral:rRNA from 1 species
GGGUCGCUACGAGCCACUAGUUGUUGCGAUGCUAGUCAUUGCAGUAAUGCACUUAACAGAUUAAGUGUGCCGCCUGGGGAGUACGGUCGCAAGAUUAAAACUCAAAGGAAUAGACGGGGACCCGCACAAGCGGUGGAGCAUGUGGUUUAAUUCGAAGAUACACGAAGAACCUUACCUGGCCUUGAUAUCCUAAGAAUCCUGCAGAGAUGCGGGAGUGCUAGUUUACUAGAACUUAGAGACAGGUGCUGCACGGCUGUCGUCAGCUCGUGUCGUGAGAUGUUGGGUUAAGUCCCGCAACGAGCGCAACCCUCGUGAUUAGUUGCUAACAGUUUGGCUGAGCACUCUAAUCAGACUGCCUUCGCAAGGAGGAGGAAGGUGAGGACGACGUCAAGUCAUCAUGGCCCUUAUGGCCAGGGCUACACACGUGCUACAAUGGUUAGGACAAAGAGAAGCGAUACCGCGAGGUGGAGCAAAUCUUAAAACCUAGUCUCAGUUCGGAUUGAGGUCUGCAACUCGACUUCAUGAAGCUGGAAUCGCUAGUAAUCGUAGAUCAGAUAUGCUACGGUGAAUACGUUCCCGGGUCUUGUACUCACCGCCCGUCACACCAUGGGAGUUGAAUUCACCCGAAGCCGGAAUACUAAACUAGUUACCGACCACGGUGGGUUCAGCGACUGGGGUGAAGUCGUAACAAGG